rnacentral:lncRNA from 1 species
UGCCCGUGCGUUUAUAUGGGUGUGGUGCUAAGUGUAUCUUGUUUACCUUAUCUUUCUGUGGAAAAAGUUUUGAAGUUUGGUCGGGUUUGUCACAUCAUGCCCGUUGCCUAGUACCCCCCCAAAGUGUUCUUAUUUAGCAAAAAGACUGGAUAGGUGGGAGGUUGUGGCUUGGC